UUCAGAUGCUGGCCUCGCUGUGGGGGCGGGGCUUGGGGUGGCUAACAGUCCCAGCCCUGGGACAGAAGGUAAAAAGUCACGUGCUGUUCACGAGGUCUGCAGAGCCCCUCCUCCCUCCUUCAGCAGCACUGUCCCCUGGGAGACCCAUCUUUCCAGACUCAACUCCAGCAUCAGCUCUUCAUGGCGCUGUUGGGGUGAUGACCUCAGGAAGGGGAGCCCGCUCUCGUUCUCCCACAGCAUCUGUGGUCAUUUGCAUCACCUUUUUGUUCACUUGUCUUCUCCUCAGAAGGACUACAGACUCCUGCAUGGAAAAGAUCUUUUUGGAGCUUCCUGCAGAGGAGAGGCACAGACAACCCAAGUAGGAAGAAGUGGCUGACUUCUUGGAGCAGGUCAUGUGGAGUCUCCAGUGUGAGCUGCGAGCCAUAAACUUCUGAUCCAGCUUGAUAGAGUCAUCUUCCAACUAGAUUCUUCCUGGAUGCCUUUCCAUGGCUUGUGUCCAAGUGGAAAGCUGGCAGUGGAAGCUCGCUCUUCCUUCUUCACUGAGUCUGCUUUUCCAUAUUGGAAGGAGAUGAAAUGCGCAUUUCAGAAUGUAAAUUUUUCCUGCAGGACACUAUCCCCAAUGGUGAAGUGAUGGAGAAAAAUAUGAGAUGAAGUCAGGGGAUAACUGAGUAACAUACUGAUUUAUAAACUCAUGGAAUUGAAUGAAAGCAUUUUUUCCACUGGUGGGGUUAUUUAUGAUGUCCUAGCUGGCUGGAUCCCAGAGUACAAGAGGCUUUGGUUCCUGAGCAAUAGAAAUAGCAGGAACUAAUUUUCUUCUUUGCUUCUCUGUUAAAAACACAGAACCUAGCUGAUGUCAAAACCCAACCCAUCCCUUAGGUACAAGGCAAGACUCAGCUGCUCAUCACCUUUGUGGUGAAUGGGGUCCAUGGUACAGGCACAUCCUGCAGGAAUAAUGACAAGGAGAAGCUGAGGCUGUUGUGAUGAGUCAUCACUCUGUGGAGCUUUUUCUAUGCUCUCCCUCGAUGGAAAUGAACUAGCCUGAAAAUAUUCCAUGAAAACCUGAUGGGAUUUUGAUUGGAAUUUUACCAAAUUCCAUAUUAAUAUAUGGAAAAGUGACAUCUUUAUGAUGUAGCAUUUUCCCAUCCAUGAACAUGGUGUAUCUUUCCAUUUAUUCAAUUUCUCUUUUUUAACUUUCAAUACUAAAAAAAAAAUUAUUUUUGGUAUUGGUGAUUGAACUCAGUGGUGCCUUACUACUGAGCUAUGUCCUCAACCUUUUUUUU
rnacentral:lncRNA from 1 species